AGUGAACGCUGGCGGUAGGCCUAACACAUGCCAGUCGAACGGCAGCACAGUAAGAGCUUGCUCUAACGGGUGGCGAGUGGCGGACGGGUGAGGAAUACAUCGGAAUCUACUUUUUCGUGGGGGAUAACGUAGGGAAACUUACGCUAAUACCGCAUACGACUUACGGGUGAAAGCAGGGGAUCUUCGGACCUUGCGCGAAAGAAUGAGCCGAUGUCGGAGUAGCUAGUUGGCGGGGUGAACGCCCACUAAGGCGUCGAUCCGUAGCUGGUGUGUAAGGAGUUUCGCCCAAAGUUGAACUGAGACAGCCUCCUGACUCCUACGGGAGGUAGCAAUAGGGAAUAUUGGACGAUAGGCGCAAAGCUUGUCCAGCCAUGCCGCGUGGAGGCAGAAGGCCUUCGGGUUCUAAAGCCCUUUUGUAGUGAAAGAAAAGCAGCUGGUUAAUACCCCGCUGUUCUGACGGUUCCCAAAGAAUAAGCACCGGCUAACUUCGUG
rnacentral:rRNA from 1 species